GACGAACGCUGGCGGCGUGCCUAAUACAUGCAAGUCGAACGCCUCUUUUCCCACCGGAGCUUGCUCCAUCGGAGAAAGAGGAGUGGCGAACGGGUGAGUAACACGUGGGUAACCUGCCCAUCAGAAGGGGAUAACACUUGGAAACAGGUGCUAAUACCGUAUAACAAUCGAAACCGCAUGGUUUCGAUUUGAAAGGCGCUUUCGGGUGUCGCUGAUGGAUGGACCCGCGGUGCGUUAGCUAGUUGGUGAGGUAACGGCUCACCAAGGCGACGAUGCAUAGCCGACCUGAGAGGGUGAUCGGCCACAUUGGGACUGAGACACGGCCCAAACUCCUACGGGAGGCAGCAGUAGGGAAUCUUCGGCAAUGGACGAAAGUCUGACCGAGCAACGCCGCGUGAGUGAAGAAGGUUUUCGGAUCGUAAAACUCUGUUGUUAGAGAAGAACAAGGAUGAGAGUAACUGUUCAUCCCUUGACGGUAUCUAACCAGAAAGCCACGGCUAACUACGUGCCAGCAGCCGCAGUAA
rnacentral:rRNA from 1 species